AGUGGCAGACGGGUGAGUAAUGUAUAGGAAUCUACCUAGUAGUACGGAAUAAUUGUUGGAAACGGCAACUAAUACCGUAUACGCCCUACGGGGGAAAAAUUUAUUGCUAUUAGAUGAGCCUAUAUUAGAUUAGUUAGUUGGUGAGGUAAAGGCUUACCAAGACAAUGAUCUAUAGCUGAUCUGAGAGGAUGAUCAGCCACACUGGAACUGAGAUACGGUCCAGACUCCUACGGGAGGCAGCAGUGGGGAAUAUUGGACAAUGGGCGAAAGCCUGAUCCAGCUAUGCCGCAUGAGUGAAGAAGGCCUUCGGGUUGUAAAGCUCUUUUAGUGAGGAAGAUAAUGACGGUACUCACAGAAGAAGUCCUGGCUAACUCCGUGCCAGCAGCCGCGGUAAUACGGAGAGGGCUAGCGUUAUUCGGAAUUAUUGGGCGUAAAGGGCGCGUAGGCGGAUUAGUAAGUUAAAAGUGAAAUCCCAAGGCUCAACCUUGGAAUUGCUUUUAAAACUGCUAAUCUAGAGAUUGAAAGAGGAUAGAGGAAUUCCUAGUGUAGAGGUGAAAUUCGUAAAUAUUANGAGGAACACCAGUGGCGAANGCGUCUAUCUGGUUCAAAUCUGACGCUGA
rnacentral:rRNA from 1 species